GUGACUGUUCAUAACUUCACUUUUGCCCAAAGUUUGGACAAAACUUUUCCAGUUUUCGGAGUUUGGGCUGCCUACAGAGACUUUUUUUUUGUUACAUUA